UCAGUCACAGUGGUCAGGUAUUCUGCCACUGUGUACUCUCUGUUUAGGGCCAGUCACAGUGGUCAGGUAUUCUGCCACUGUGUCCUCUCUGUUUAGGGUCAGUCACAGUGGUCAGGUAUUCUGCCACUGUGUUCUCUCUGUUUAGGGCCAGUCACAGUGGUCAGGUAUUCUGCCACUGUGUUCUCUCUGUUUAGGGCCAGUCACAGUGGUCAGGUAUUCUGCCACUGUGUACUCUCUGUUUAGGGCCAGUCACAGUGGUCAGGUAUUCUGCCACUGUGUACUCUCUGUUUAGGGCCAGUCACAGUGGUCAGGUAUUCUGCCACUGUGUACUCUCUGUUUAGGGCCAG